UACGUAGGGCGCAAGCGUUGUCCGGAAUUAUUGGGCGUAAAGAGCUCGUAGGCGGUUUGUCGCGUCUGCUGUGAAAACGCGAGGCUUAACCUCGCGCCUGCAGUGGGUACGGGCAGACUAGAGUGCGGUAGGGGAGACUGGAAUUCCUGGUGUAGCGGUGAAAUGCGUAGAUAUCUGGAGGAAUACCGGUGGCGAAGGCGGCAUCCUGGACCAACACUGACACUGAGGAGCGAAAGCCAGGGGAGCAAACGGG
rnacentral:rRNA from 1 species